rnacentral:piRNA from 1 species
UAAGACCACUGAUUGCCUUCCAAAGGACA